rnacentral:rRNA from 1 species
GAUGAACGCUGGCGGCGUGCCUAAUACAUGCAAGUCGAGCGAACGGACGAGAAGCUUGCUUCUCUGAUGUUAGCGGCGGACGGGUGAGUAACACGUGGAUAACCUACCUAUAAGACUGGGAUAACUUCGGGAAACCGGAGCUAAUACCGGAUAAUAUUUUGAACCGCAUGGUUCAAAAGUGAAAGACGGUCUUGCGGUCACUUAUAGAUGGAUCCGCGCUGCAUUAGCUAGUUGGUAAGGUAACGGCUUACCAAGGCAACGAUGCAUAGCCGACCUGAGAGGGUGAUCGGCCACACUGGAACGGAGACACGGUCCAGACUCCUACGGGAGGCAGCAGUAGGGAAUCUUCCGCAAUGGGCGAAAGCCUGACGGAGCAACGCCGCGUGAGUGAUGAAGGUCUUCGGAUCGUAAAACUCUGUUAUUAGGGAAGAACAUAUGUGUAAGUAACUGUGCACAUCUUGACGGUACCUAAUCAGAAAGCCACGGCUAACUACGUG